ensembl:lncRNA
UGAGUUGUCUGAAUGUUAGUGUCUGACUUGUCUCUCUCUCCCUGUGUUGUAGGUGAGUUGUCUGAAUGUUAGUGUCUGACUUGUCUCUCUCUCCCUGUGUUGUAGCUGAGUUGUCUGAAUGUUAGUGUCUGACUUGUCUUUCUCUCCCUGUGUUGUAGGUGAGUUGUCUGAAUGUUAGUGUCUGACUUGUCUUUCUCUCCCUGUGUUGUAGCUGAGUUGACUGAAUGUUAGUGUCUGACUUGUCUUUCUCUCCCUGUGUUGUAGGUGAGUUGUCUGAAUGUUAGUGUCUGACUUGUCUCUCUCUCCCUGUGUUGUAGGUGAGUUGUCUGAAUGUUAGUGUCUGACUUGUCUUUCUCUCCC